rnacentral:misc_RNA from 1 species
GAUGAAGAACGUAGCGAAAUGCGAUAAGUAGUGUGAAUUGCAGAAUUCAGUGAAUCAUCGAAUCUUUGAACGCACAUUGCGCCCCUUGGUAUUCCAUGGGGCAGGCCUGUUCGAGCGUCAUCUACACCCUCAAGCUCUGCUUGGUGUUGGGCGUCUGUCCCGCCCCCGCGCGUGGACUCGCCCCAAAUCCAUUGGCAGCGUUCCUUGCCCCCUCUCGCGCAGCACAUUGCGCUUCUCGAGGGCGGCUCCGGGACGCGAUCCAGCAAGAUGACCACCGUCUUUGACCUCGGAUCAGGUAGGGAUACCCGCUGAACUUAAGCAUAUCAAUAAGCGGAGGA